UACGUAGGGGGCAAGCGUUGUCCGGAAUUAUUGGGCGUAAAGAGCGUGUAGGCGGUUCGAUUAGUCUGCUGUAAAAGUCGGGGGCUCAACCCUCGAAAGCCGGUAGAUACUGUCGAGCUAGAGUACGGAAGAGGCGAGUGGAAUUCCUAGUGUAGCGGUGAAAUGCGCAGAUAUUAGGAGGAACACCAAUUGCGAAGGCAGCUCGCUGGGACGUUACUGACGCUGAGACGCGAAAGCGUGGGGAGCAAACAGG
rnacentral:rRNA from 1 species